rnacentral:rRNA from 1 species
GGAUUCCCCUAGUAACUGCGAGUGAAGCGGGAAAAGCUCAAAUUUAAAAUCUGGCAGCUUUGGCUGUCCGAGUUGUAGUCUGGAGAAGCGUCUUCCGCGCUGGACCGUGUACAAGUCUCUUGGAACAGAGCGUCAUAGAGGGUGAGAAUCCCGUCCAUGACACGGACUACCAGUGCUUUGUGAUGCGCUCUCAAAGAGUCGAGUUGUUUGGGAAUGCAGCUCAAAAUGGGUGGUAAAUUCCAUCUAAAGCUAAAUAUUGGCGAGAGACCGAUAGCGAACAAGUACCGUGAGGGAAAGAUGAAAAGCACUUUGGAAAGAGAGUUAAACAGUACGUGAAAUUGCUGAAAGGGAACCGCUUGAAGUCAGUCGCGUCUUGCAGAACUCAACCUGGCAUUUGCUUGGUGCACUUUCUGUAUGACGGGCCAACAUCAGUUUUGACUGCUGGAAAAAUUCCUUAGGAAUGUGGCACCUACGGGUGUGUUAUAGCCUUUGGUUGUAUACAGUGGUUGGGACUGAGGACCGCAGCACGCCUUAUGGCCGGGGUUCGCCCACGUACGUGCUUAGGAUGUUGGCGUAAUGGCUUUAAGCGACCCGUCUUGAAACACGGACCAAGGAGUCUAACAUGCCUGCGAGUGUUUGGGUGGUAAACCCGAGCGCGUAAUGAAAGUGAAAGUUGGGAUCCCUGUCGUGGGGAGCACCGACGCCCAUACCAGACCUUCUGUGACGGCUAUGCGGUUGAGCAUGUAUGUUGGGACCCGAAAGAUGGUGAACUAUGCCUGAAUAGGGUGAAGCCAGAGGAAACUCUGGUGGAGGCUCGUAGCGAUUCUGACGUGCAAAUCGAUCGUCAAAUUUGGGUAUAGGGGCGAAAGACUAAUCGAACCAUCUAGUAGCUGGUUCCUGCCGA